rnacentral:rRNA from 1 species
AUUGAACGCUGGCGGCAGGCCUAACACAUGCAAGUCGAACGGUAACAGGAAGCAGCUUGCUGCUUUGCUGACGAGUGGCGGACGGGUGAGUAAUGUCUGGGAAACUGCCUGAUGGAGGGGGAUAACUACUGGAAACGGUAGCUAAUACCGCAUAACGUCGCAAGACCAAAGAGGGGGACCUUCGGGCCUCUUGCCAUCGGAUGUGCCCAGAUGGGAUUAGCUAGUAGGUGGGGUAACGGCUCACCUAGGCGACGAUCCCUAGCUGGUCUGAGAGGAUGACCAGCCACACUGGAACUGAGACACGGUCCAGACUCCUACGGGAGGCAGCAGUGGGGAAUAUUGCACAAUGGGCGCAAGCCUGAUGCAGCCAUGCCGCGUGUAUGAAGAAGGCCUUCGGGUUGUAAAGUACUUUCAGCGGGGAGGAAGGGAGUAAAGUUAAUACCUUGGCUCAUUGACGUUACCCGCAGAAGAAGCACCGGCUAACUACGUG